rnacentral:rRNA from 1 species
CUACGGGCCGCAGCAGUGGGGAAUCUUGCGCAAUGGGCGAAAGCCUGACGCAGCAACGCCGCGUGCGGGAUGAAGGCCUUCGGGCUGUAAACCGCUUUCAGCAGGAACGAAAAUGACGGUACCUGCAGAAGAAGGAGCGGCCAACUACGUGCCAGCAGCCGCGGUGACACGUAGGCUCCAAGGCGUUGUCCGGAUUUAUUGGGCGUAAAGAGCUCGUAGGCGGUUGAGUAAGUCGGGUGUGAAAACUCUGGGCUUAACCCGGAGACGCCAUCCGAUACUGCUCUGACUAGAGUUCAGGAGGAGAGGGGGGAAUUACUAGUGUAGCGGUGAAAUGCGCAGAUAUUAGGAGGAACACCGGUGGCGAAGGCGCCACUCUGGACUGAAACUGACGCUGAGGAGCGAAAGCAUGGGUAGCAAACAGGAUUAGAUACCCGCGUAGUC